GCUGAGUGCAGUAAAACUGUUGUGUUGUCAGACUCAGUUCUACACCAAACCAGCCUGCUCUCCUGAUCACCACUGUCAUCUGAGAAAUGGUGGCAUCAGUAAAAACAGAGAAGUCCUUUACCUUGGCAAAUAAGAAGAACCUGGGAGCCUAAACUGGGUCGUACUUAGACAUUGUACAACAUACACAGAGUAAACAACGUACCUACCCCAAACAGCUUGCAAUCUAAAAGGCAAGAUGCAACAGGCAUUUAUUACUGCUAUGACUGGAAAAAUCUGCAGCCCAGAAUCUAUUCCAGCUUAUGUGCCACUGAAGACAGGAGCAAUGGAAGAUGCAGAGUCUGGAAUGGACAUCUCCAAGAAUCAAGGUGUACCUCCACAAUCAGGCUGAAUAUAAGCCUCAUUGGCACCACUUGGGUGCUCAAUAUAUUAAAGAGGUUAUUUAGAAUUGCUAUAAACAUACCAGUGGAAAAUGUUGACAUUUGUUUGAUACAGUGGAAAAUCUAAUUAAAAGCUA